rnacentral:rRNA from 1 species
CGGAGGCAGCAGUGAGGAAUAUUGGACAAUGGAUGGAAAUCUGAUCCAGCCAUGCCGCGUGCAGGAAGAAGGUCCUAUGGAUUGUAAACUGCUUUUGUACGGGAGCAAUAAGGGCUAUGCGUAGUUCGAUGAGAGUACCGUACGAAUAAGGAUCGGCUAACUCCGUGCCAGCAGCCGCGGUAAUACGGAGGAUCCGAGCGUUAUCCGGAUUUAUUGGGUUUAAAGGGUGCGUAGGCGGUUCAAUAAGUCAGUGGUGAAAGUUUUCGGCUUAACCGGAAAAUUGCCGUUGAUACUGUUGGGCUUGAAUUUGGUUGCUGUGAGUGGAAUGUGUGGUGUAGCGGUGAAAUGCUUAGAUAUCACACAGAAUAUCGAUUGCGAAGGCAUCUCACAAAGCCAAUAUUGACGCUGAUGCACGAAAGUGUGGGGAUCAAACAGGAUUAGAAACCCUGGUAGUCCA